AUUGAACGCUGGCGGCAUGCCUUACACAUGCAAGUCGAACGGCAGCACGGGGCAACCUGGUGGCGAGUGGCGAACGGGUGAGUAAUGCAUCGGAACGUGCCAUUGAGUGGGGGAUAACGUAGCGAAAGUUGCGCUAAUACCGCAUAUUCUGUGAGCAGGAAAGCAGGGGACCGCAAGGCCUUGCGCUCUUUGAGCGGCCGAUGUCAGAUUAGCUAGUUGGUGAGGUAACGGCUUACCAAGGCGACGAUCUGUAGCGGGUCUGAGAGGAUGAUCCGCCACACUGGAACUGAGACACGGUCCAGACUCCUACGGGAGGCAGCAGUGGGGAAUUUUGGGACAAUGGGCGCAAGCCUGAUCCAGCCAUGCCGCGUGAGUGAAGAAGGCCUGG
rnacentral:rRNA from 1 species